rnacentral:rRNA from 1 species
UGAGGAAUAUUCGUCAAUGGGGGCAACCCUGAACGAGCAACGCCGCGUGGAGGAUGAAGGCCCUUGGGUUGUAAACUCCUUUUCUGUGGGAAGAGGAAGGACGGUACCACAGGAAUAAGUCACGGCUAACUACGUGCCAGCAGCCGCGGUAAUACGUAGGUGGCAAGCGUUAUCCGGAUUUACUGGGCGUAAAGCGCACGCAGGCGGCUGUCCAAGUCUGACGUGAAAGCUCCUGGCUUAACUGGGAGAGGUCGUUGGAAACUAGAUGGCUUGAGGCGAGGAGAGGGGUGUAGAAUUCCCGGUGUAGUGGUGGAAUGCGUAGAUAUCGGGAGGAAUACCAGUGGCGAAAGCGACACCCUGGCCUUUGCCUGACGCUCAGGUGCGAAAGCGUGGGUAGCGAACGGGAUUAGAUACCCCGGUAGUCCCUGAGCGGGCUGGCAAGGCGCAU